ACCUGGGUGGCUCAGUUGGUUAAGCAUCUGACUUUCACUCAGGCAUGAUCUCACAGUUCGUGGGUUCAAGCCCCGCGUCGGGCU
rnacentral:tRNA from 1 species